rnacentral:lncRNA from 10 species
GUUGAGUAAACUCUCCCACUCACGAAAACAUUCUAUAGCAAAAUUAAUGCAUUUGGACUGAGUUUGAAUCGAAUCUUCCUGGCUAAGAGCCAGAUUCUGACUACAUCCGUCAGCUAUGAUUAUUGGGUUCCCCAGCCCAUAGCAAAUUGAACAUGGGUUGGGGCUGCUAAGGGCAGCUACUCCGAGGACAAUAGAAGAGAAGCCACGAGUUAGAGUUAGACUGCUGGAAAACCUAUGUGAGAGAUAAAGGAACUCCAGCAAAUAUACUUAUUGGGAAUAUUUGGCAUAAAACCAGAGUCCUACACAGUUAUUUGGAUGAAAUGCUUAUUUCUUUUUUAACAUAAGCAUUGACUGGAAAUAUUGGUUAUUCUGUCUGAUAUUACAUGAAGGUCAGAUGCCCUCCAUGCAACCAUGAGGUCGGAUGGCAGUUUGAUGCUGAACCAGCAAACAAGCCUACUCAGCAUGAAACUAUGAGUAUAAAAACCUUUAUGAUGACCUACCUCCACUUGGAUCAAUGAAGAAACCAGAACUCAGGACAACUUCUAUCAAUAAAAGAAGCUGCUCAUCUGAAAGACAGCAGCACAUCCAUGUGCCAGGCAUGCUCUUCUUUCAGUCCAUAGUUAAGUUGAGGUGUACAUAUAUGAACCUGUGUACUUGUGUUAUACUCACCAGAACUCCACAGCAUCACAAGCUGGGACAACAUCCUCACACUGUGGAGCAAGAAGACAACUUAAUUAAGAGACAGCAUUUAAUGACAAGGAAAGAAAAUGUUCCUUAUCUUGUAAAUUCCUUCGCUAAUGGAAUCUUCCAGCCCACCCUGGGAAGAAGAGUUGUGGACAUAGACACAUACAGAGAGAAGACCAUGUGAAGUCACAGGGAGAAGACAGCCACCUACAUACCAAGGAGAGAGGCUGUACAAGAAACCAACCCUGAUGACACCUUGAUCUUGGACUUCCAGCUUCCAGAUUUACAGGAAAAUAAAUUUCCGUUGUUUAAGCCACACAGUCUAUGGCAUUUUGUUAUGGCAGUUCUAGCAAACUAAUAUACAGCCUAUAUCAUAUACUACUCAGUUUGACUACUUUUAUUUUGGAACAUAUUAUACUUUUGCUACUUUUGCUUAUGCAGUUUCUUUUGCUUAGUGUCCCUUGCUAGUAGAUAUUUAUAUUUAAAGAUAUUUUAGGCCUGGCACAGUGGCUCACACCUGUAAUUCCAACACUUUGGCAGGCUGAGGUGAGUAAAUCACUUGAGGCCAGGAGUUUGAGAUCAGCCUGGCUAACAUGGCGAAACCCCUUCUCUACUAAAAAAUACAAAAGUUAGCUGGGCGUGGUGGCGGGUGCCUGUAAUCCCAGCUACUUGGGAGGCUGAGGCAGGAGAAUGGCGUGAACCUGGGAGGCGGAGCUUGCAGUGAGCCGAGAUUGUGCCACUGCAAUCUGGCCUAGGCUAAAGAGCGGGACUCCGUCUCAAAAAAAAAAAAAAAAAAAAAAAAGUAAUUUCUCCCUCUUCUACAUUUCUUUUGUAAUUUUCCCUUACUUCUAAUAAAGCAACCAUCACAUUAUAUUUUUAUUUCUCCUGUAAAAUUGCACCAGUCCUCAAAGAAAAGAUCAGAGCAGUGACAAGAGUCAAGUCAGACAUGGUGGUUGCUUGGAAUGGUAUGAUGACAGUGUUGGUGAAAAUACAUGAAAAGAGGUAGAAUUGAUGACUGUGGUGGUUUAUAAAACGUAGGGAGACAAGUUAGAAGUCCAUAUGAAGGAUGCAGUCCUGGAAUGAGGAUGCUGUCAUCUGGGACCAUAAGACAUGAAGACAAGAGUGGCGUUAUGAACUGAAAGGAGCCAGGAGCUUUGUUGGAAUAGAACCACCCUAUUAACCCUGGACUUCCUGCCUGGGCUAAUUUGCAUUUGAGAGAGAAAUAAACUACUGUACAUAAGCCACUGCAAUUUGUUUUCCCACUUGCCGUCAAUAUAAUCCUAACGGAGAGAGCAGACAACAAGGUAUUAUUGAGUUAAGAUGAGAAACAGGGGACAUUAAGAGGAGGUAAAAUCCUUUACUUCCAAAUGUUGCUGUUCGCUGACGCUGGUGAAUAGCCAUGUGACAAUGAAACCCAACCAAAAAUUGAGGAGCCAAAAUAAUAGAAGAUGGGUGAAGAUGAGGAGGAAAAGCCUUCAUUGGAAGAGCAAGCUGACUCCCCCAUGAC